rnacentral:rRNA from 1 species
CCCUGGGUUAGUCGGGACCUAAGCUGAGGCCGAAAGGCGUAGGUGAUGGACAACAGGUUGAUAUUCCUGUACUACCGAUAACCGUUUGAGAGAUGGGAUGACACAGUAGGAUAAGCUAAGCACACUGGUGGUUAUGUGUGCCCAAGCAUUGAGGCAGUCAAAGUAGGCAAAUCCGCUUUGAUAAUGCUGGGAUGUGAUGGGGAGCGAAAUUUAGUAGCGAA